UAGCCUUUCUAGGCAAUAAUCCAGGCUGCC
rnacentral:piRNA from 1 species